GAUAAGGAAAUGUGUCAUAUGCAGUUCAUAUAUUCUUUCUUCAUCCGUUAAAGUAAAGGACCUGUGACAACAGUUGUAAGCAUUUUAACAUUCAGAUCUCUUAGGAAAAUUCAUACUUGGUACAGCAGGGUAUGUACAUUUUGGAACUCUCCUCUAUUUCAGAUCUGCAUGAGAAAACUCUGAUCGUACUUGAGUGACUAUAAAAAUAUAUGUAAUCAUCUGAAUAGAAAACUUUCAGUUAUCUUUCAGUUUUACUAUUCAGUAUCUGUUUGAAUGGCUUAGGUAAUGUCAGAGAUCCAGGACUUGCUUUUGAGUACAGGCGGAUACCAAACGAACGUUCAGAACACGAUCCCAAAUAGAAUUCAGGCAGAGAGCGUUAUCCCAAUGACUUGCAUUUUGGGUAUAGAGAAUUAUGGCUUGGAAAGAUGUGGCUUUCUAAGUUUCAAACCAAAUGCAUAAGAACUUUGACAAAAUUCAUCCAAGUUAAUCAAAUCAGUUCCAGAUAACAGUUUAGAUUUAAUCCAGCUAAGCAUCAAACAAUACACUAAAUAUGAUUAAAUGCCUGCACUGUCCUUAUUUUAGCUGUCUGUACUGUAUUGUGUGUCACAUGGAGUAUUUACCCUAAUUCCAAAUUACCAGAUAAACUACAGAAUUCAUAUAUUCUUAGACUGAAGUUUUCAUAAGGCACAUGUUUCAAUGAAACUCAUAGUGUCUAUCUGGCCUCUCAAAAUGUGAGGUGAUGCUGCAUCUCGUGCUAUAGUGAUCACGGUUGAUUAUGUUAGUCACAAAAAAAGAUGAAUCAUCUGAAAACCAUCAAGUUGUGCUUUGUCUGAAAAAGAGUAUGAAAUGCUGACCAACUGUAGUUGAAGAAAUUAGGAAAAAGCUGCUUUGUUGUUUCUUUUUUAAUCAGAGUAUAGCAAAGCCUCAACUUUAUCAAAGCCCACAAAAAAUAUUGCUAUAUAAAAUAAAACAGCUAAAUACAACUUUUAAAAAUAGUCCUAGUCAUCUAGAUAGUGGUGACAGUAAUGACAUUUAUAAUAGAUAAUUACUGCAAAAUCCUGCCAGCAUAUUAAAUAAGUUAUUUCAGAUUAUGAUAAGCAGUACACACCAGACAGCAUUUUUAUUUUGGUGCGCUGUUAUUUGUUCUGUGGUUAUAUUUUGGAAGAAGAGAAACAGGAACAUUGGCCAGAAAGCAUUUGACCCUGUUGAGUUAGAUUUUCUGUCUGGUAGCUCAGAUUUCAAUUAGAGAUGAGAAGACCAUGCUGGAGGGGGAAAAAGCCAAAUGCAGAACAAACAUUCCUUCUCAAAUAACUUUGAACUGAUAAAAGAACUGAAUACGACAUUAACUGCAUUAGAAAAAAAAUCCUAAUGGCACUGUAGUUGUAAGAAUAUAUAUACAACCACAGAGUGAUGAGGAAGCUGACAUAAACUGAGUUAUUCCGGCCUUUAUAGAAGCUUCUCUCAGUAAUAAUCCAUUUGUAGAUGAUGCAAAAUAGAGUUCGAAUAAUACUGAUGAUGUCAGAAGUUUAAUUAAUUUAAUUCCAGAUUUUCCAGCACUUGUAGUAUUUGCCACGUAAUAAUUCAUGAUUUCAUCCAAUAACAAUCUCGGAGAGUUACUUAAGAAGCCUCAAGCUGCCAUUAUACAUGGUCUGUUCCCUUGCAAUAUGGACAUUUCUCUUCCAACUUUGCAGCACUGGCUCAGAGUGAGCCAAAAAAGAAGCAGUACCGGGCAGCAAUGUGCACCAAACUAGAUAGCUCUGCAAGAGGUAAUAUUGAUCCAAUCAUUCAUUCCUUCAUAGCCUGUCCUGCAACUUUUUUCUAGGUGAAUGUACAGAAGGAAGUCCGUGCAUUAUAAAGCCGCAGUCCCUACUGAUGUGUUAGCACUGAUUUAACCCUGAUGUAGUUAUACGAAUUGUGUAAUACUUUAAAAAUGGAACUGCCUGAAAAAGACUUCAAAGCUUCUUCUAAAAUGUGGGGGAGCAUGUCCAGAUUCUUAAAAAAAAAAAAAAAAAAAUUCAAUCCUUUCUUUGUCGAAUAUUUAUAUCAUCUUACAUGUUACAUUUAUUUCUGGAUUAAUUGAAUAGACUUCUGGUAUUUUGAUCACUGUAGGAAUAUGAUUUUACAAGUUAACAGUGACACUUUCUCUCCUCUAGUUAUUUUCUACUGCAAAUGGAUUUAAUUCUCUUCAGCUGGAAAAUGUUCUUCAGAGAUGACCUGUACGUUAUUGUCUCCAAUCUCCCCCAUCCCAGGGCAGCGUGGAUGAAGUGAGAAGUGAAAAUCCAGUGUAAUAUAACAGGAAGUUCUGAUCAGCUCCACAUGCCCAGUCCAUUCUAAUGCUGCACUUUGUGAAUGACAGUCUAGAGGCCACAGCACAGGGAAAGGCCAAGUCAUGGAUUUUGCAUUACCUGCUGCUUAUGCUGUAAAACCACAUCCAUCGCUCUGGUAAAAACUAAAAAGGUGGCAGUUAUCAGUGAAAAAGUGUGCUAUGGCAUUACAUAUAACUAACUAGCAAUGGCUGCUUUUGUUCUGUGGUUUAUAUAUGCUGUGGCGGAUUUGCUGGUGGAUAAGCUGAAGGACACCCAAGCUUUGAAAACAAACUCUCUGACAGUAUGUGGUUCAAAAUGACCACUGAUGAAUAACUGCAGAGACAAGUGGAUAAACCAGGCAUGGCUCCUGGGAAGGACUUGAAUAUUCCCAACUCCCACUGAAGUCAGUGAGGCUGAAUUAAGAAGAAUUUGAGAGCCAGCACGUGGUCAUUACUUGCUGAUAUCUCAGUGUUUUUGCCUAGUGAGAACCUGAGUUACUGUGUUUGGGUUUUGUUUGUUUGCUGGAAACAAAUAUAAUACCUUCAUAGUAGCUGAAUGCAGUAGGAGCCAAUGAGAAGUCAGGGGACAGGUUCAAAAGAUUUCAGCCUUGGAAAGCCAUGCAGUCAAUGCUUGUUCCAGAAAAGGGGCACAGAAAAUCUUUUUUUUUCUGAAAAAAUCUGAAUCAUGUUUAACGGAGGUCUUGUGAUUGGUGGAGUUUGUCUAGACUGUGUGUUAGAAACCAUAUAUAUUUUAAAAAUACUGGGUGGGCAAAAUGCUGGGCCUGGGACGCACAGUGCAAGCUGUCCUGGCAAGGCUCAGCAUCAACUCUGCGCUUUAGACAUCAGCUUUUAGCAUUCUCUGCCUUCCCUUCUGUUUAUGAAAUUCAUUUUUUCUAGUGCACCAAACCACUACAAGUCAUUACAGGUGUGAACUUGAUAUCAACAGAAAUAACGCUUAAUUUUAUGGGAGAUACAUAGAGGGAAUUAUUUUGCUAGGGGCUAAAUAAAUACAUUUUCCAUAGCACCUCUCAAUUCCCAGUCCAUUAAGAAACCACAUUUCUGUCAGUAAGCAAAUCCACAGCUGAUGUCUGGGCUAUCAGUUGUGCUCGUAUUUCUUGCAGACUGAAAAUGUGAUCAUCAUUCCUGCUUCCUCCCUCCUGGAAAUGCAGUGGGGAGGAUCCCUUUCUGUCUGGGUUGUGAAAACUGCUUAACUUUGAGUAUUUGUUUUGCCAAGGGAAGAUAAUGGUAGGGAAGAGGGCAUUUGUUUCUGGAGCAGGAGGUCCCUCAUUGCAGUCCCUGCCCCGGGGGGGAGCUGAUGAUUGUUCGGUUGUUGGGGUAAUCCAAGCAAAAAGUAGGGUUAAGUUCAUAUCACAGUAACAGGAGAAUGUUAAGGAACAAUCCCAAAAUAAACCCUCUUCAUCACAGUGUUCAUAGUUAAUUUGCCAACCACAAAAAAUAGGUGCUAAAUGUUUUUUCUUGGCCAUAGGAAGAUGAAGCAUUGUCGCUUCAGUGGCAGUUGUAUUAAUGGUCACUGUUAACAACUAAUGAGAAAAGAAACAAUACAGUUUGUACAGGGCUAUUUGGGUAUCUGUUUAGAAACAGCCAUGCUACUACAGAAAAACUUCACCCUCUCCAUAGUUAAGUAGUUCGUUCUUGAAAAAUUUCCUUUAUAUUGCAAGUAGCAUCAGCGCAGAUUUUGGUUGGCAGCCAUAUAUGCUAAACAUGCCUAGGUAGGAGUCUGAGGGAUCAGAUACAUGGAGAAAAUUACCUCAGGCUAAGACAAGCAAUUUAUUUUAUGCUCGCUGUGAGCCAGAAGCGCACGCUGAUCCGCAGCACCUCCCCAUUUCACCACAGUGCCAUUUUCAUCCAGUGAGCCUAAGCAAUGCAGCUAGUCUUUUGGAAAAUUGUCUGUUGUGCUAAUGUUCUGUUAAUGACUUCUGCAGCUUGCUUAUUUCCCCACCAUCAUCGUUUGUGAAACGACUGCUGCCUGAGCUCCCCGCAGCACCGUGCUGCUCAGAGGGAAGCUCAGAGGAGGCACUGUGGCCUGUGCUCAGGUGAGCUGUGGGGAAGCGGCCAUGGGGGUGGCCUGGGCCUGCACAGUGGGAGGCUGUGCUCCAGCCAAGUUAUGGCAGCACGCGAGCACAGUAAUGCCCAUCUGUACAAUCUGGAGAGCCUUCAGCUAGAGCACGAGGAUCAAGAGAACUGAACACAGGGCAGAACGGAUACAGAGCAUUACUGAGUCAGGGGCAGGAGGAACCCAUGGGGGAUAGGGAUGCUGUGGCAGGCAGGUGCACUUGGCCUGGUGCAGAUCCAGCCCACGGGCCUGCUUGGGCCCCAAGCACCCCACGAGAACAGCUGGCCCCAGCUGGCUUGGGACAGGCCCCAGCUGGGUUGGGGCAUGGCCGAUUUUAAGAAAAGCACUUUGAGCUGAGGUGUUUGCGGUUCUAUAGCCAUGCAUUUUGUGUAGAGAAAGACUGAGUUAUUGGUGCUGUACUGAACUUUAACAAUAAUCUUCAAUAGCAGGACGCAAGGGAGACAUUCAUGUACUGCCGUAGGUAUGUGUACGUGCAGCCACUGAACUACUGUGGAAGUAAGCGCAGCACAAAAUCUUGUCUGAAGUGUUGUGUUCCCCAUAAUCAGGUCUUAUUCCAGUCAAGAGCUGCAGUGACCUUGUGUACCUCCUAGAGAAAGCCUGCACCUGGACUCAGAGGUUAACAACCCGGAUAGCUGCAACUAACCUACGUGGAGAGCUCAUUUCCCAAGAGUCACAUUUAGAAGUGCAAUCCUGUCUGUUUAGAGAAAUAGUGAAGAAUCGUGUCUGAUAGCAAGCCUUUUAUAUGAAGUUUUUAAAGUCAUGAAUGUCAUCAGGAAAUAAGAUACUGACAAGACUGAACUGGUAAAAUACAGAAAAGUCAAGCUUGAAUGAUGCAAGUCACUUAAAAAAGCAUACCAGAAUCUGAAAAUGAGAGUUUGUUAAAAGCAAAGGUUUAUAGAAUAUGUAAUAAUGGUACGAAAGCUUCAAAACAAGUUUUCAGGGAUUUGUAAUAUUUAGGGUGGUUUUUUUUUUUCAUGCAAGUAAUGCAUUGCUUUUUAAACUGUAUCUUUUUGUCUGUUUGUACGUUACACCAAAAAAAAGUGUUUAAUUUUAGGGAGAGCUCCAGGGAAGCAGGUAAAGCUCUGAUGAGAAGGCGAUUUGCUGUGUUUCAGAAGACAACCUCAGCAUGCUUUAUCUAUAUUCUUUUGAAAAAUACUAGCCUUAUCUCCAUGGAAGAAAUGCAAAGAGCAUCCUCUUCAUAAUUCUUGCACUUCAGAAACAGCAUAUUACAUCUGACGUGUUUAAAACUUGCAAUUUAUUGUGGGCUUAUUCUUAAAGCUUGCAUCGGAUGCAAUGUUUUUCACUAAAAUACUGAAGUAAUUUUGUGAGAGAGAGAAAAAUUCUUUUCAUUCAUUUACUGAUCUUGAGUACAGAGGGAUACCUUGCAUAGUACAGUUACUGUACAUGAUGGCCCAUCAAAUCAAUCUUGGAAUUGCAACCCUGCUUGUCAUCUGUUUGAAAAUCUCUUGCAAAUUACCAUUAACAAGUCAUAUUAGAAACAUCAGGAAUAAUAAGUGCUUUCAAACAGGGGGUUGUCAAAUUAUAUAGUCUGUUUGUUUGUUCUUUAGGAAAGAGAAAUUCAUAAAAGCAUUUAAAAGCCUUGAAAACCUGAAAUGCAAGACAUGUUUGUUCAGUAGUAAUGUUCUUGCAUCAGAAACUCAACUUACUAUCUAUUUUCUUAGUAUGUUUAUUUUUGUAAGAAAAUGUUUAUUUUCAUGAGGAAAUAGAUUAAUCUUGAGGAAAAUAUGGGCUGUUCUUUUAUUGCCCAUGACUCCAGUUUUCAUCUCCUCCUACACAGGUCUGGUCCUAUUUAGUGCGAAGGCAGUAGUAAAGCUUUUAUUUCAUUCACUGGAGAAGAAUCAUGUGCCUUAUUAUUAUCCUUAUUCUACAUAAUUACCAGAUAAAAUUAUUUGAAUAAACUGGCUUUCCUGACAACCAACCAAAUCAUUUCUAUGUUGGGUUAAAAGCCAGUUUCAUCUCCUUGUAGCUCUUCUGCACUGGAAAGCAGGACAAGAAUCUGGAGCAGCCAAAGGAGUGUGCCCCAGCCUGGCCCUCACCCUGCAGGGUGCUGAGCAUUUGGGGCAGCUCCACAAAGAUGGCACAUCCCUCUGCUAACCUGCAUGUUUUGCUUUCCAGACCAAAGGUACCGCAGUUGAUGAAGGACAAAAUGUGGAAAUUCAUUCAUUUUCAACUGUACAUGCUGUAAUGUAUUCACAUCCUUCUGUAUAUUUUAAAUGCUAGGGAGAAUUUAAACCUAAUUGGUUUUAGCUUGUAGAGCGUCAAAAAUUUACAGAGCAUAACUAAUUUUGGGAGACCUGUUCCAACUAUUUUUUGCAUUUAGUGUAUUUUCUGGCUAAAGAAUGAAAGAAGACAAAUAUUAGGGAAAUAUUACUGCAUAUUCUAAUUAAAGAACAGGCAGAAUUCGAUCUUGGCACAUUCCAAAUCUCUGAACCCAAUGGAAGGAUCUAAAGAACUUGUUACUCAUGAGGGUAUGUGCUUCAUGAGGAUUUCAUACUAGAACGACUCUGGCAAUAGGAAGCAGAGACAGUAGGCUCCAAAUCAAAAUUAAGAAAAAUAACAAAAUAUAAAUGAUAAUUAAAAAAAAAAAAAAAAAAGGAAAUAGCUGUAGAAGAAGAAUGGGGGGAUUUAAGAGCUUGGGCUACAUUUUGGAUUGAAUUUCUGGUUUGUUUUUUAGAUUGCUCCAAGAGGCAAGACAACUUUGCUAGUGGAUGUUCAAAAAAUGAUAAAAUAUGGAGCACAUAAGAAAUAUUCUUAAUCACAAGAAAUAUGGAUGCCAGAACUGCACUAAGACUUUCAGAGUGCAACAGAAAAAUCAUCUUCUUCUCUAUUGCAGACUGGCUUUCUGGCAAUGUGAUUACAUUACUUCCUACACAGUUCUAGAUCAAACUCAAGUUUAUGAGUCAUUCAGGAUCCCCAUGGUCGGGAAAGACCCCAGCAUGUAAGUAGUUGUUACUACAGUAAAUGAUGCCAGAAAAUCUUUUCCUAGAAAUGGUAGCCAAUAGAUAUUCACUCAUUUCAGUUUUUAUUUAUGUAUGUGUUAUAAAAAGAACAUAUAAUGGGGCUGGCUUUAGGAAAUUCAUAAGACUUAUUAUUAAAAAUGCAUGUGUAGUCGUGCAUGCAUGUGUACAUGUAUACGGAAUAAGCAAAUCAUAGAUAGAUUCAGUCCUUUAUCUUCAAGCAGGAAGAAGAGUCAGACUUUUUUUUUUGUUGAUCCUCAGUGGUACUUUAGCAAUUGUUUCCUGUGGCUGUACUAUGUGUGUAGUUUUCAAUUAUGGGUGAUUAAGUAUGAAUCUGUAUUUUAUUAUUAGCUACAUCUAUAUCUACUCUGAUUAUAUGUGUAGUGUGCGUACACAGGCACCAGCUGCUAGAAUAAAAUAGACUUUUAUUGAUUUUUUUUUUCCUGGAGAUAUAUGCUUGCAAGAUCAAAUUUUCUAUUUCUGAGCUAUAUUUACAUGUAAACGUUAAUAAAACCAUAUAUCAACUUGCCUGAUAUAGAGACCCCUUAUUGUUCACUCAAGGCUAGCAAUAACAACAUAAAUAGAUUUAUCAUGGGAGGUGCUGAGAGAUCUAAUAGAAAGGCUGUUAGCACCGAGGCAAAGAUUUGGAACUCAGCCAAGCUGAGAUGGGAUAGAAGUAAUUCCAUUAAAUGGCCAUAGAUUUGUUUUUGGUAGUCGUCUGAAGAAAGGUUUUGUUACCGUCUGUGAAAAAAGUUAUUUUCUCUCCAGUCAAAUAGCUAUAUUAAAUGACCCUCCCCUACCACUCCUGGCAAGUUUUCUGUGCUUUUGAAUGGGUUUCUACAUGAAGUUCUCAUUUGUCUGAGGGCCUUCUACUUCUUCCAUUCACUGCUGAUAUCAGCUACGCUGUAAUGAGAAAAUAAGCAUUGUAUGGAGCAUGUGUUUUCUAUCAUUAUUUCACUCCAAAAAUUUUUAGUAAGUAUUGCUUGAAAUGCAGAGCAGGCCGUCUACCACGUCACCUGAAAACUACAUCUCAUUCAACUGAGAAUGGAGAAAACAUUAACAGCCUAUAUUAAGUGAUUUCCUUUUGUCUGAACUAUCACCUACGUUUUGAGACUUUGUUUCCUACAGAGAACAGAUUCCAGUCCUUGCUUUGGGAAGUUCAAGACGUGGAUACAUAUGUACGUAGAAAAAGAUAGGUAUUUUUAUGUUUAAGAAUAGACCUAUAAAUCGUUCCAUUAGCUUCAGCCCUUAGUCUUGUCAUUGCCAAGUCAGCAGUUCCUCCACAGAUGGGUUUAUUUCAUAAGUGCCUGCAAAAGUGCUGCAUGUUGCAGAAAACAUGCUAUUUUAAGUUAACAAAACUUUUAGAUAAAUCUUUACCUAAUUAAGGUCAUUUAUCCAGGCACAGUAAUGUCUAUCUGUACAUACUAGACUUGUUUCGCUUGCCAACUAACUUACAAGCACGUUUAUCUGGUUUUGCUCAGUGCCUCAUGCUGCGGUGGGCUACUUGUAAAGACCUGCUCUUCCAGCUGGCUUCUUUAACUCUUGUUCACCUGUGGGUCAAAUAAGUUAUUUUUGUAAUACAUUUGCAAUUCAGUGCAAUGUCUAUUGUGAUCAGUGGAUCUCUGUCAAUAUUUACUAUUUCUGUUAAGAGUGACGGAUCGUUUGUAAUUUAAGAAUCGAGCAAGGCCAAUCAGUAGUUCAUCUGCAUCCCAGUAAUUAUAUGGAGCACGUUAGCAAGGAUGAGGGCUGCUGACCUCUGGCGAAAUACCCACCAAGAGACAAAGCUGCAGCCUACAGAGAUGGAGGUCUGCGUUAACCACAUCAUUAGUGGGGGGGAGCUCCUCCGGGUUUAGGAGGUACUGAACAAAGGCUUUGGUGCUGAAUGGGAAAACCAGGUAUUUCUAGAAGGUAAGACUCCAUACUUGCACAGUGCCAAAGGGACACAACAGGCACAGACCUCCUGGGGGAGGCUCGGCUUCAAAAAGGUUGGGAUUCUUGCUCUAAUCAAAGCUGACCGAUGCAUGAAUGCUGCCUUCACGGCCAUUGCUUAAAUUAAAUACCUGGAAAUGAGAUGCUGACAAUCUCUAGAAUUCUUAAACAAAACCUGUAAGUCAUCUGUCUUGCCUACAGUGUUAAACAGACCACUUUAGUUUGUGAAGUGGCCAAGGAAAAUACUGCCCCGUGUUGCCACCAAGGACCAGAGGUCAGUGCUUUGGGAGAGAGAGUUAUGUAGCAAGAGCAUCGUACCAAAUAAAGUAAGAGAGAGAGAGCUAUUUCUCUAUGGCACUUCCAUAACUUCUGUGCAUUCUCAAUACAGCAUCCUGUUAAGUAUUUCAGGACUUAUUACAACUGCUUUUCCCUUAUCUUUAAGUAUAUAUAUUUAUAAAAAACAACAAACAGGUGUCUGCUCCAUCUUGUAUACUUGAUCUUUAGAAACUGUGCUCCAAGUAAAAAUCUGUUCCCAUCCUUUUGGGAGUUCGGUUAGCUGGAAGGUCAAGAAGAUGCUGGCUUGUAUCACCAACCAAAUUAAAAUCUUACAAAUUAGAAGGUGAAGUUAUGAAAGCAUUCAAUGUUUUACAGUGGAAUUUAAGAGCAGACACUAAUUCUCUUCCCAUUGACGCCAAAGACUUUUGCUUUCUUCAAGAGGAAGAGAAUUAGGCCAACUUAAAAUAGGCCAAUCCAGUAUUUUCCUUCAGUGCCACACAUAAAAAUGAAAGAUGACAUCUAAAUUGCAAAACAAAAUUCAAAUAAAGUUGCAAGGCUUCAGGAAGCAAUUAGAGAAUGUAACUUGAUGUACGUUAGUCCAGGCACCUCUCAGAAUGGCAUGGAGGCAUGUUCUCUUACUGGCUUCAUGAAGCCAAUUAGUAGAGGAUUAAUCAAUCACCUGCAAGGAAAGAGUCUAGAAAAGCAGCCUAACUCACGUGCGUGCUCAGUAGGCUGUUUCUUACCAAAGCAGCCCUCUGAUUUCUCUUUUCAGAAUUCAAGCACUCUGUUUUAGAGAAGCAGGAUUACCAUGCCCUGACAAAAGCAGCUCUAAGCCAGGUAAGAGUAAAAACUGUGAGCCUAUCUUCUGAGAGCAAGGCACGUGCUAAGGGUAGAGCUGAAGAUGAGUAAGGGAGCACUUUCUUCUUGAGGCGAACUGCUGUGGCUCUCUGCAGGUGCACCUGGUGGUGGCACCCGGCCUUGCUCCCUAUGCCCCCACGCUGGCAUCGCUGCCUCCAGCACAGCUGGGAGAAGGUAAGGCACUGCACUCCGAAGUGAGGUUCUAGGUUGUUUUAGGAGGAAAAAAAAAAAAAGUAUUUUGUAUUUAGCACAGCAUUUAAGGCCCAAUCCUGCUAAUUACUUAACUGGAGCUUAGGAUUUAGGAUUUGCUGUGGGAGCUCCGCACAUCCUGCAGGAUGGUGCUUCUCACUGCAUGAAGAUGUAAGCACUGGCUUUGGGCUGAGAUGCGGGCUCACUGCAAAUUAGCAUUGUAUAAACAGACAGCAGGCUGAAUGGAUUUAUGUGCUGCCCAAAACUUUGCAUAGAUUUUCUGCAGUUCUGUGUCUACAAAAUGUCUGCCAGAAAAAAAAAAAUCUUGAGCUCAGGAGGAUGAAGUAUCACACGUGUAUUGUUCAUGUAGCUAUGGUAACCUACAAAUGCCACCAGUGUUUCCAUUUCAUACACAAAUGAGGGGACAGCUGUGGAGACCACAUGUCUGCCAAUGGAAUAAUAUAUGUGAACGAGGAUGGCUUGGCCAGAAAAUUACAACUCAUUUAUAUUAAUCAGGGCUUCAAAGAACAGCCAUCUCUGCAGAGAUAAAGUCCACAGUAAAAGGGAGUGAUUUUAUUUCUCAGACUGUUUGGCUCUUUAGUAAACAUUUUCACCAUCUUCCUACUUGCCAAUUUAAAAAAAGUAGAAAUGCUGGGAGCAGCCAGUGCCCUUCUAUAAAUGUCACUUCACUUUUUUCCUUGGCGUGGUCUUUUUCUGCUGCCUGACCCUGGUGUGGCCCAGCCCAAAGCCCACCUGGGAAAGCAGCAGUUCCCAUGCAGGCAGAAAUGGGCUCAGAACUCAAACCUGGCUUCUAAGUGGAAAAACAACAGUAACAACAACAAAAAGAAAAACAACUUUUUGUUUUACUCAUUGAUAUCAUUAACAGAAAUAAAAGCUUCAGAACAUGCACUUUUUUAAGUUGUGAAAAAUGAACUCUGAGCUUCUAUGAUCCCCAGCAAUACAAUCAACAACAACAAGAAAGAAAACCCAGGAAACUCAGCAAUACAAAUCAGUGGCAUUUUCAGCAACUACUGAGCUGCAAGUUGCAGAACCAGCAGGGCUAUGAUGCAAGGCACUCCAGGUGCCCCUUGGAACCCCAAAGCUGCAGCUGGCAGCAGCAGAACACCACGCACUGCCCAGCAAAAGUUUCCCUGGAUGCUGCAGUGCCACGCUGCUAUAGCACCUCGAACAAAGGCUGCUGCAUCGGGGCUGCUGCCACUGCGGGCAGGCAGCACAGCUCUGCGUACCGGGGCACCGCGUGGUGAUGGUGUGAGCUUUCAUGAGUGCUCAUUUAAAGGACUGCGUUUACUCCGUGAUCUGGGACUGAAAUACAUCGAUGCAUGUUCUUGAAGCAGAGCUUCCUCGCUUUCAGCUGGGUUCGAGCCCUGUUAAACCAAUGGGAGCUGAAGUUUCCUGUUGCAGCCUGUUGGGAUGCUCUCAGCGUGAAUUUAUUCAUGUUAAUUAAAAACAAACAAACAAAGACAAUGGUUUUUCCACA